CUAACCUUUAGCAGGAUAAGCUAGGAUACACACAGUUCAGGUGACUGGAGUGUGUAGAGGCAGGGCCGUGUCCUUUGUGUUGUGUCUUGAGUACAGAGAGCAGUGGCACAGGAUCAUUGACAGACGUGGCCCUCGCCUUGGAAGGUUCCUGAGGCUGAUGUCAGAAUAAAGUUUCUGAUUGUUCAAAGAAGAAACUAACUAUAUAUUGACUUGUGCUUCUUGUAAAGACGUCAGAACUGGACGGCUAAGUGGCUGAUCAGGAUUGCAGACUUCCUGGAGCAUCACAAUGAAUAGAGUGGAUGAUGUA